GCUAGAAGCUCUCUUGAGUCUUCUCUCAAACCCACGGGUCAACACCUCAAAAGGAAAAUAAAACUCCAUCUCAUUUCUUCUUCAUACUCUCUCAAAGAAACUAGAAGACUCAAAUACUCUCUCAAGCUCUCUACCUCUCAUACUUUCGAGUCCAGCCACUAGGAAAGGGAAAUCCUUUCAUGCCAGAGUGAUUCUAUGUCUAUUUCCCCUCAAGAACCAUAAACUUGGUAUUACCAGUACCCAAGUCUAAGCUCCUUUGACUUUAGGCUCUCGGUUCCUCUGCUUUCAGUAGAGGAAAUGGGGUUGCCCGUAACUCUAGGCCAUUUAAAGUAGAGGAAAUGAGGCUGCUCGUAAUUCUAAUCUGAACAAGGCCUUCUCUCCAAUAUGUACGGACGGUGGGGAGGAACAAAACCUUUAGGGGAUGUGCCAUCAGACCUCCCAAAGAGGACAAUAUCAUGCAUACGAGGGCACCCAAAUGUGGUGAGACCUUCUCUGUACAGACUUAUCAGAUAUGGAUUAACCAAUAUGUUAUGAACAGCUAUAUUAUGUUAUUGAU